UAAUACGAAGGGCCCGAGCGUUGCGCGGAAUCACUGGGCUUAAAGCGUACGUAGGCGGGCAUGCAGGUAUCUUGUGAAAUCCCUCGGCUCAACCGAGGAACUGCUUGGUAAACCGCAUGUCUUGAGGCAAGUAGGGGCUGUCGGAACGAUAGGUGGAGCGGUGAAAUGCGUUGAUAUCUAUCGGAACGCCGAAGGUGAAGACAGGCAGCUGGGCUUGUUCUGACGCUGAUGUACGAAAGCGUGGGGAGCGAACGGGAUUAGAUACCCCGGUAGUCCACGCCGUAAACGAUGUGCACUAGAUCGAGGGGGUUCUGACGCCAUUCUCGGUCGAAGCAAAAGUGUUAAGUGCACCGCCUGGGGAGUACGGUCGCAAGGCUA
rnacentral:rRNA from 1 species